UACGUAGGGUGCUAGCGUUGUUCGGAAUCAUUGGGCGUAAAGCGCGUGUAGGCGGUCAAAUAAGUCGGGUGUGAAAUCCCUGGGCUCAACCGAGGAAGUGCAUCCGAAACUAUUUGGCUAGAAGACGGUAGAGGAAGGUGGAAUUCCUAGUGUAGAGGUGAAAUUCGUAGAUAUUAGGAGGAAUACCGGUGGCGAAGGCGGCCUUCUGGACCGUUCUUAACGCUGAGACGCGAAAGCGUGGGGAGCAAACAGG
rnacentral:rRNA from 1 species